rnacentral:rRNA from 1 species
UUCCGGUUGAUCCCGCCGGACCCGACUGCUAUUUGGGUGAGGAUAAGCCAUGCGAGUUGAGUGGGAAACCUAAAAAUCCCAUGGCAAACUGCUCAGUAACACAUGAUCAACUUACCCUAUAGAGGAAAAUAACCUCGGGAAACUGAGGAUAAUGUUCCAUAGUUGAAUCGGCUUGGAAAAGUUUUUCAAUAAAAGGGAUAAGGAAAAUGGUUCUUAUCUGCUAUAGGAUAGGAUCGUGCUCGAUUAUGGUUGUUGGUGAGGUAAAGGCUCACCGAGCCGAUAAUCGAUAGGGGCCGUGAGAGCGGGAGCCCCGAGAUGGGUACUGAGACAACGACCCAGGCCUUACGAGGCGCAGCAGGCGCGAAACCUCCGCAAUACACGAAAGUGUGACGGGGUUACCCAAAGUGUUCUAUUUAGAACUGUGGUAGGUGAGUAAUGUCCCCUACUAGAAAGGAGAGGGCAAGGCUGGUGCCAGCCGCCGCGGUAAAACCAGCUCUUCAAGUGGUCGGGAUAAUUAUUGGGCUUAAAGUGUCCGUAGCCGGUUUAGUAAGUUCCUGGUAAAAUCGGGUAGCUUAACUAUCUAUAUGCUAGGAAUACUGCUAUACUAGAGGGCGGGAGAGGUCUGAGGUACUACAGGGGUAGGGGUGAAAUCUUAUAAUCCUUGUAGGACCACCAGUGGCGAAGGCGUCAGACUGGAACGCGCCUGACGGUGAGGGACGAAAGCCAGGGGAGCGAACCGGAUUAGAUACCCGGGUAGUCCUGGCCGUAAACGAUGCAUACUAGGUGAUGGCACGGCCAUGAGCCGUGUCAGUGCCGUAGGGAAACCGUUAAGUGUGCCGCCUGGGAAGUACGGUCGCAAGGCUAAAACUUAAAGGAAUUGGCGGGGGAGCACCACAAGGGGUGAAGCCUGCGGUUCAAUUGGAUUCAACGCCGGGAAUCACUAGUGCGGC